GGGUAGUGUGAUAUGGGUUGGGGUGUGUCUUAUAAGGGCACAAGGGGAGAGGAAGAGUCCUAGUCAAAUUGGGACCUCUCUUAAGCUUUGGUCAAAACCUAAUCAAAUCCUUAACCGAAUAGGAAAUGGUUGCACCCAAAUAGAGAGAAAUCUUAGUCUAACUAGGAACUCAAUUAAAUCCUAAUCAGCUUAGGAAUUGGAAAGAUGCACUCGAGUCCUAAUCAAAUAGAAAAUUGAUCUCCCUUAUAAUUGAGUUAUCUCAUAAUCCAAUU
rnacentral:lncRNA from 1 species